ACCAUGAUGAAGACGGAGCCGCGGGGGCCCGGGGGUCCCCUCCGGAGCGCCUCCCCGCACCGCAGCGCCUACGAGGCGGGCAUCCAGGCGCUGAAGCCGCCGGACGCGCCCGGGCCCGACGAGGCACCCAAGGCGGCCCACCACAAGAAAUAUGGCUCCAACGUCCACCGCAUCAAAAGUAUGUUCCUGCAGAUGGGCACGACGGCGGGGCCGCCGGGCGAGGCGGGCGGCGGCGCGGGCCCCACCGAGGCCCCGCGGGCGCCCGAGCGCGGCGUGCGCCUGUCGCUGCCGCGGGCCAGCAGCCUGAACGAGAACGUGGACCACAGCGCCCUGCUCAAGCUGGGCACCAGCGUGUCGGAGCGCGUGAGCCGCUUCGACUCCAAGCCCGCGCCCUCGGCGCAGCCCGCGCCGCCGCCGCACCCGCCGUCCCGGCUGCAGGAGACGCGGAAGCUGUUCGAACGGAGCGUCCCGGCGGCCGCGGGCGGCGACAAGGAGGCCGUGGCGCGGCGGCUGCUGAGGCAGGAGCGCGCCGGCCUGCAGGACCGGAAGCUGGACGUCGUGGUGCGCUUCAACGGCAGCACCGAGGCGCUGGACAAGCUGGACGCCGACGCCGUGUCGCCGACGGUCAGCCAGCUCAGCGCCGUUUUCGAGAAGGCCGACUCGAGGACCGGCCUCCACCGUGGGCCCGGGCUCCCCAGGGCCGCGGCCGCCGGGGUUCCCCAGGUCAACUCGAAGCUGGUCAGUAAGCGGUCCCGGGUGUUCCAGCAGCCGCCGCCGCCGCCGCCGCCCGCCCCGUCGGGGGAUGCACCGGCCGAGAAGGAACGCGGCCCUGGAGGGCAGCAGCCUCCGCAGCACCGAGUGGCCCCUGCCCGGCCGCCCCCCAAGCCCCGGGAGGUGCGCAAGAUUAAGCCCGUGGAGGUGGAGGAGAGCGGGGAGUCGGAGGCCGAGGCGGCGCCCGGGGAGGUGAUUCAGGCGGAGGUGACGGUCCACGCGGCCCUGGAGAAUGGCAGCACCUUGGCAACCACAGCCAGCCCCGCGCCCGAGGAGCAGAAGAAGGCCCAGGCGGCCCCGGAGGAGGCCACGGCGACCGUGGCUGCGCCUGAAAGAGGGGUGGGCAACGGCCGGGCCCCGGACGUGGCCCUCGAGGAGGCGGAUGAGUCCAAGAAGGAGGACUUCUCGGAGGCAGACUUGGUGGACGUGAGCGCCUACAGUGGGCUGGGGGAGGACUCUGGGGGCAGUGCCCUGGACGAGGACGACGAAGAAGACGAGGAGGAUGGGGAGCCCCCUUACGAGCCCGAGUCGGGGUGCGUGGAGAUCCCGGGGCUCUCGGAAGAAGAGGACCCGGCCCCGAGCCGGAAGAUCCAUUUCAGCACGGCGCCCAUCCAAGUAAGUGAGCCCCCCUCCCGCCCCCGCGCCGCCCCUGCCACGUGCACGCCGUCGCCCCCGCCUCGCCAAGCCGGGUUUGGCAGGCUGAGUCAGCCCCUGCCACCCAGCCCCCUUCCCAGAAGUUACCACCCUGAGGGGGGCGUGGGGGAGUUCCAGCUGUUUGUCAGAGGGGCACGAUUUUCAGGCCUGAGACAGGACGGCCUGCCCCGACCUGCCCUCAGGUUCCUCUGCCUGCUACCUCGCCCAGGCUCCGCCGCACCCGCAUCCUGGGACACCUGCUUUCCCUUCCUCUCCCAGACGCGCUUCCUCCGGAGGCUGCCUAAGGCUGGGACUUGGGGUGGUGGGGAGGUGUGCGUCUGUGUGUGUGUCCUCAGGAGACCCUCCCCACAUCGGUCCUUACUCUACUCUGGGCAGGAGAGGUGGGGGGAGCUUAGAAACACCCCCCCCCACCCCCACUUUUCCCCUAUAGAGGAGGGAGGAGCCAAGAACUUCCUAAAACGAAGGUGUAGGGGACCGCAGCCCUUCAUCCUGUCUGUAGCCCCCACCCCAAGUUUGCAGAAGUGAAAGAGGGAAGCAGGUCUAUGAGGGUGAGCUGGGCCGGGCCCAUGUGACUUGGGGUGGGGGAAAGGUCUGGCGCUGGGGCCCUGUUUCCUGGGGUCGGUGCUGGGCCAUCUGGGGAGGUGGAGGUGUUGGGUUCCACAGGGAGCAGGCACCUUGCCUGGCCCAUGAGGGGGCUGGGCCUUGGACUGGGCACGAAGAGAGGGGGUGGGGCUGGGAAAGCCCCCAGGAUGCCUGGCAGCUGCCCACAUGCCUUUGCUCUUGGCUGCUCAGUAGGACAGACUCUCAUGGCCUUGGCAAACUCCCAGUGCUCUUGCCACAUUCUCUGGGUGCCCUAAAAGAGGGAUGGGAGCUGCCCCUUUUGGGGGUCUCAGUCCCCCCCCUCCCCCCACUUCCCCACCAUCACUCUUGGUGAUUGGUUUGUGGCUUGUGCCAGUGUCCUGAGCUCCUCAGAACAGUGCCGAUGGGGUCUGCGUAGGGGGACAUCCCUGGGAAGAAUUAAGAGUCCCAGGUCACCACCCCCCACUUCCUGCCACCCUCCAAUCUUGGCUAGCACAUCCAGUCUAGAUGGCUCUUUCUCACCACCCCAGGCUCAGCUGUGCCCAGCACCAGGUCUGCUGCAGGGGGGUGUCCGGGCCCCUGUACUCUCCUAGGCCUGGACCCUGCCUUUACCCCUCCCCUGCCAAGCCCUCAUCUGUUUGCUUGAAGUUUCCAUAACUGCUCUUGGACACUGAAGCUGCCCAGGUUUCCUCCCACCCCUCCUAUCGACGGCUGCCCCUCUCCCACCUCCCCGCUCCCACCCCAGCAGAGGCCUGAAAGGUGCCACUCCAGCCACACCAUCCCUCCCCCCAUCUGGGGCUGCGACCUUACGUGUCCUUUCCCAGCCCUCCCCCUCCUGAGGGCGACAGGAUCCUGGAUGGUCUGGAAGGAAGAUUAUGGUGUUUCUUGGGACCCGAGGAGGAGGUGGGGACCACGGAGGGAGUCAGGACCCUCCCAUCCCCAACCAGUUCUCUGAGUGGCCUGAUCCCUUCAGAGGUGGAGUUUGGUUUUUCAGUCCUGGGCCUCUGACUGUCUAUAUUUGACACCUUACCCUGAUUUUUGGGUAAAAAAUAGCGCAUGAUUUGGAGCAGUGUUUCCCGACUCCCUGGUGACCGUCGCUCGCGGGAGUGUGGGAGCCAGUGGUCUGUGGUGCCGCCGUGGUAUGUGUGACUUUUGACCUUGCUGGGGAUUUCCUCCUCCCCACCCUGGGCAGUGGGUCCCUGUUUUUCCCCUUUCCCUGCCCCCACUCUGCACUGACACUGAUUGGAGGGUCUUGUGUCCUACUGAUGACCCGGUUGUUGCCUCUACGGAGGCUUCUGCUGAGGACAGAGAGCCUGAUUCCACAUGGCCAGUUGGGGGCGGGGGACUGGGCCUUCUGAUAGGCUCAGCACAUCGUGGUGGGCAAUGUGAGGGGUGGCCUGGGGCCUGGGGUGAGGGUCAAGGGACUCGUGCAAAAGUGGGCCAAAGCCGAUUUGCGAGGCCCGGGGGCAUGAGUGCAACGGGGACGAAGUCACGGGUGACCCACCUGCCAGGGCCCACCGGGUGGAGUCUCAUCCUGCCCGACCACUGGCCAACCCGAGUGACCUUAGCGGCAGACCUGGCAUCUUAUUCUGUCUGCAGACUGGGUGGCCCCUCCCUCCAGGGGGCUUGGAGGCCAGCGGCCAGAUGUCAGGGGGCCACUGCACAAUUGACGAUGAGCGUUAAGGGCCUGAGCUCGAGUUUCUCUGAUGCAGCGAAAUCGAGGGGAGUGAGUUAAGUGACCACAGGCCCCUCCCAGCUGCACUUCUAAUCCUAUGAAACCCCACCGUGGGAGCGAGGCUCCGGUGGGGAGUGGAGGAUGACACCGAGCGAGCCCGAACAAAGGCUGGGACACAAGUCUACUGCCCGCCAGGGUGCCCCUGGGCCUGCUCCUGGAGGAGAGAGGGCCCCGGCAGGGGCCUCGGGGGACACGGUGCUCCACUCCAGCUGCUCAGGCCUCAGGCCCAGCCGUCGGAUAGAGCUGCUCCCACCCUUCCUCGCCCCCGCUUAGCUCCAAGUGGUGCCAACCUGUCGCUGCAGGCAACGAAGCAUGAACGCGUCAUGGUACCCCAAAUGGUGCUCAUUAACCUCCCACUGGGGGUACCCCCGCCUGGACCCAGAAUUAGGCACUCCCACAGAGCCCCUGCCCUAGCUUCUCUGUUCUCUGGGGGAGGGUCGGAAUUCUCCUUCUCACAGAGAGCCACAGGAAGGAGACAGCAGAGGGUACAGGGGCCGACAAGGUAGGGCUGGCCUUGGGGCCUCCCUGCAGGCUGGCUGGGCUCACUGUGGACCACGUCAGAGAGGCUGCUGCCUGCCCGGGCUCCUUGUUGUCACCAGGGCCCUGAGCCUCUGGCCUGGGCCUCCUAGUGCACUGGGGAUAAGGGGCACGCCUCAGAGCUGCUUCUCUGGAGGGAAACUGAGGCCUGGCCAUGCAGGCAAGGCCACAUGGGCCUGGCGUUCUUCCCCCCACCCUUCCCACCUCCCGUCACCUGAGGGGCACCUCAAGUAGAGGGCUGCCCUUUCUCCAUGGGGCUGGGGUGAUCCUGCCUGCCUCCCUCCCCCACCCCAGCCUCAACUUCAAGUUCAGGUCAGCUGGGGCCUGGGGUCCUGGGUGCCUCUCUGUCCCAUUCUCUCCUCCUCCCUCCCCUCUCCCUGCGUCUCACACCCGCUCCCCCUUCUCUCCCCAUCUGGCAGCCUCCCAGAUCUUCUCCAUUCUUACUCCCCUCCUCCGCUUCCCCUCUGCUCCUGCUCAGCCUGUUCUUUCGACUCUCCCGGACUCUCCCGCUGCCGUCUGUGUCUGCCCUUGUCUGGCUCUCUGGGUCCUCCUCUGUCUCUUUCUGCCCCAGUCUGUUAGUCUGCCUCUGACCUGGCCUCCUGGCCUCCUGAGUCUGACGGUUUCUCCAGGGUUGCCCUUCCUUUCCUUCCACAGCAGCCAUGCUCAUGCCCAGCUGGGGCUGCAGGAGAGAGUGACGGUGUGGAUGGGGCGACGACGUCCCUUUGUCUCUCGCCCCGUGGACUCAAGCGCUAGCAGGCCCUUCCCUCCGAGCUGGGGUCAUCUUGGGGCUGGGGGAGGCCUGGAGCAGGCCAACGGGUGGCCUCAGCCGGCCCUGGCGGCCUCUCCGCACCAGCUCUGCCCUUGCCCUCUGACGAGCGGCCCCUCUGCAGGUGUUCAGUACCUACUCCAACGAGGACUACGACCGGCGCAACGAGGACGUGGAUCCCAUGGCCGCCUCCGCUGAGUACGAGCUAGAGAAGCGGGUAGAGAGGCUGGAGCUGUUCCCUGUGGAGCUGGAGAAGGGUGAGACACGGCCGCGGGGUGGGGGUGGGGGGUGUCUCCACUGGCGCCAGCUCUGCCCUGGGCCCUGGCGUGGGGUGGGGGUGGGGGGGCUUCCUCGGGGACUUUGGUGUCACCCCUGCCAGCGCCCCCGGCCACACGGACUCCAUUGCGGCCGGAGCUCCCACCACCGACCCUGUCCUGCCCCACUCUGUGCUCACUCAGCCCAGCUGCCAGGUCCCCGGGGGGGCGCUGGGGGCUGGGCUCUGGGCACUGUGUGGGCCUCGCGCUGAUGGGAGGCCAGCACUGAUGGGACACUCCCAGCCAACUGUGUCCUCACAGGCUGUCAUGGGUGCCGGGCAGGGAUGGGAGGGGCCGCCGUAACAGCAUGUAGACUCAGGUCAGUGGGGUCCCCGAGGAAGGAAUGCUUGCAUUGAGCUCUGAAGGUGGAGGUGGGGGGGUGGGUAGAACUCAGGAGAGCUUGCAGGAAAGAGAAAAGAGAGACUCGGCUAGAUUUUGAUCACGAGGGCAAGGGGGGUAUGUGGGGCCUCGUAGACCACGUGGAGGACAGGUGGUCCCCGUGGAUGGACCGGGAAACCGUGGCAGGGCAUGGGAAAGGUAUUUUAGAAAGACCACCACAGGCUGUGCUGUGGGGAGAAGGGUCAUAAGUGGAUGGGGAGAGACCACAGUGGUGUGGACCAGACGAUGGCUGUGUGGAAGUGGGUGCCUCCUUGCGAGGCAGAAUCUGCAGGAUCUAGAGGUUAUUUGGCCCUGGCUGAGGCCGUGAGGGGGGAGGGAGGAAUCCAGGUGACUCCCAGGCCCCAGGAGGGAGUGGCAGACGGGAAGAGCCUGUUUGUGGGGGAAGAUAAGAGUUUGGAUGUCAGGGGCCCGUGAGACAGGAGGGGGGGCAGCUGCGGAGAGCAAAGCGGGAAAUCCCCAGUCAUUGAGGCUGUGAGUAUGGGUGAGUCUGUGUAGAGGAGACCAACCCCAUCGUGGCCACCCCCACGCCAUCCCAUCCCUCUGCACCCCUCAUCUGCAUGCAGAAUUGUCUCUGGCCAACCCCCCGGGCCACCCUCGGCCUGCCUUGCUGCCCAGUGGUUCUUGGGGGUGGAGAGCACAGAGCAGGGAGUGACCCACGAGCCUCCUGGUUGGCUUGACAAAGAGAGCGGAGAGAACGGUGUCCCUUCCCUAGUUGCGGACAUCCCCUGAGUGCGGGGCCUGCUGCUCGGGGUCGGGCCGUGCCCUGGGGUGAGGUUGGAGACUGGGGUGGGGGGGACGUCUCUCUCUCUCUGUCCCCCUGCAAGCCCUGGCUGGAACGCCUCACCCCACCCCCACCUCCCAACACCAGCCUCUCACGACUUUUUGCUCCACAGACUCUGAGGGCCUGGGCAUCAGCAUCAUCGGUAUGGGGGCCGGGGCGGACAUGGGCCUGGAGAAGCUGGGCAUCUUCGUGAAGACCGUGACCGAGGGUGGUGCAGCCCAUCGGGACGGCAGGUACCGCCUCCCCCUCCCCCACUGGCUGCCAGCCGCGGGGCGGGCCACUGUUUGUGUGGGGCUCAGGUAUUCCUGGAGCCUUACUGUGCUAGAUGCUGGUCCAGGGGGUACAGCGCCGAACACAACUGAUGGGACCCCUGCCCUCAAGGCACUUACAUUCUUUGGAGGGGGGCUGCACGGAGGCAUCGUACGUCCUGGCUUUCGGUGUGUGUUGGACCGCGGUAGGGAGAGCACAGGCGUGGAGGUUGUGUUCCUGGCGGAGACCUCUGAGCUUUUUGAUUUUCACUUAGCAAAUACCGAGUCUCUGGCUCUGUGGGCGGGGCUGGAGCCAGCCCUGGGGUGUCAGUGAUGAGGGCCUUGCCCUCAAGAAGCAUGCGGUAUGUUGAGGCAGACGGGCAUCCAAGUGGACGCACAGAAACCACGGGAAAAGUAGCACAGGGGUGCCACGAAGGCAUCAAAAGGAGGACUUGUUCUCUCUGGCUCGCAGGGAAGGCUUCCUGGAGGAAGUGACAUUGGAGCUGAGACCUGAAGGAUGAGCAGGAGUUAGCCAGGCUGAGGGAGUAGAAUGUGCAGCAGGUUCCAGGAAGGGGACUGAAAGCAGGCGGGUGUGGCGGGAGCAUAGCAAGCAAGGGGGAUCCAGGUGCGUGGUGUGGCUAGAAAGACUGGUGGGCCGUGCCUGGAGGGGAGACGCUCCUUGUGUGCGUGCGUGUGCAUGUGUGUGCAUGGGUGCUCUGCUUGGCGUCUGAAGCUGGAGGGGUCAGAAGGUUCAGGGAGGGCCUCCUGGAGCCCCAGGCAGCCCAGUGACCCCACUGUGGGCCCCUCCACUAUGUGUGUGUAUCGCAGGGGGGAAGUGGGACGGGCUUUAGGGUGUCCCCGGGGUUGUCGGAAGUUGGAGGUUGAUAAUCAGGGGUGCCUUGUGGUGGUACCUCCCAACCCGGACCCCCUCAGUGUGACAGAGGUGAAUGGGUGUCCCUGUGAGGGCUGGGUGACUUGGGGUCAUGUUGCUGGAGCUUGGGUUGCCUCAUUCAGGGUGCUGCUGCCUGCUGUGGCCCUGGGAGCUCGGGGGGCAGACAAAAGGAAGGUGACGGUCUCCGCCCUUUCCCUUACCCCCUCAUUUGAAUUUCCAGAGCCUUCCCUGUGGUCCUCCGUUGGUGGUGUGGGAAGUGUGUGCCCAUGUUGAGUGUGGCCACACGUGGGGCGUGCGGGGGUGAGCUCUUCACAAUAGGCCAUUUCCUCCAUUUCCGCAUAGGAGGCCGGGGAGAAGGCCUGGAGCUUGCAGGGAGGUGGGAGUGGAGGAAGGAGGUGGCCAAGGGUCCCGCCAGUCCCUUCGUCCCCCUCGGCAGGCUGGGCCGGACACCCCCGUCUCUCUCCUUGCGCCGAGAAGCAGGGCCCCUCGUGCCACACCGAGAACGUGGUGGGGGCUGUGUCCCCGUAUGAGGGUGCCGUGAGCCUACGGGCCAGCACGUGAGCACUGCAGUUUGCUCCGCUACAUGGGUCUCGGGCAUUUGGGAGCCACUCGGCAGACCCGGGUCUGUAGACGUGGACUUAGAAGCGGACCGUGUGUCACCUGUGCUUCGGGCCUCCGCCGGCGUCCGUGGUGGUAAUGAACUCUGGAUGCUCUACACCCGCUCUGUCGGGUGUGACGGAGGAGGGACAGGGGUGUGAUUGUCGCAGGACGUGUGCCUGCCACCACUCCUGGUCCUGCGUGCCCGUGUCUGCUUUGCCUGCCCGGGUCUCCCUGCCCGCUGGUGAGUCUGGGACGAUACGGGAUGCUCUGGCCUCAUGCGUUUUAUGCAAGUAGACAAAGUACCAGGGCCCAGCGGGGACUGAGCCUCAAGUUUCGGAUGGGAGGGGGACCACCUCUACCUCAGCUCCGGUUCCCCGGUGACCCCCGCUGACCAGUGUGGCCUCUCCCAGGAUCCAAGUGAAUGAUCUCCUUGUGGAGGUGGAUGGCACGAGUCUGGUGGGAGUGACCCAGAGCUUUGCAGCCUCCGUGCUCCGGAACACCAAGGGUCGAGUGCGGUAAGGGCCCGGAGCAGGGGGGGCUGGGUGGGGGAGGUGGGAGCGGACGGGAGGUUUGGCCCUCAUCCCGGCACUCAGCCCACCUGGCCGUACCCAGGUAAGGUUCUGGGCAGCCCGCCUUAUUUUUUUUUUUUAAUUAAAGUUUAUUUUUAUUUAUUUUGAGAGCGAGAGAGCAAGCGGGGGAGGGACAGAGAGAAAGAAUCCCAAGCAGGCUCUGCCCUGUCCGUGCAGAGCCCGGUGUAGGGCUCGAACACACGGACCCUGAGAUCGUGACCUGAGCCGACUCCAAGAGUCAGAUGAUUAACCGACCGACCGAGCCACUGGGCGGCUCACCACACAGAGGAGCUUUCAUGGCCUCCCUCCCCAAAGGAAUUGCUGUGCCCGUAUCCCUACCCUACGCCUGCCGUCCUCUCCCAAGCCCCUGAGUACUGCUGGCCACCAGCACAGGCUUCAAGGCCUAUGGCCCGCUGCACCUCCAAACUGGCCUCUUGGACUUAUUCUUCCCCUGCUUGUCCGUGACUAACUCACCAAAGAACCAAGAUGUGCAGGGAGAAUGCCAUCCAAAUUGGAGUCUCCCCCACCGGGCACCUACCCCAUCCUUCUCUCUCACCCACUGUGUAAUCCUGGCCGACUCUCCUCCCCGGGCCUGUCGGUGAAGGGAGCUGGGCUAGGAGCUCCUUACGUCCCUCUCUGGCAUAACAUUCGGGGACCACUCCCUGCCCCCUCCAAGAGGGGCACUGCCCCCAGGAAAGGGUGGUGGACAGAAACAGGAUGUGGGUGGCCACGGAGAGGAGGGGCUGGUGCCUGGAAGUUCCACUACUUCCUCUCCAUCCCAAUCUCCACUCACCAUCGUCCCGCCCCUUCCUGAAGCUUGGGGGCUUGGAGCUCACACAAGGCACACCCCCACAGCCCCAGGGCAGGGGAGUGGGGAAGCCGGCUGCUGGGAUGGGUCAGGGCCCCGAUUUCUCCCCCGGUGGUGGAGGAAGAGCCCCCUGCCCAGGCGGCUUCUGAGCUCCUGUCCCCUGCAGCCCAGCAGGGGGUUUGGCUGACAUCACCCCUCCCCCAAAACUGGCCGCGAGGGUUAGCGGGCCUUCUGCCUCUCUGGGGAAGGAAACCCAAGAAGGGCCCCCAGCUCCCCCAUUCAUUAUUAACACUCCACGGCCUCUGGACUCAACCCUCUCAUUUCACCUCCCUUGGGAGGGUCCGGGGGGCGGAGGUGGUGCGCCAGCGGGGAGGAUGGUGGCAUCACCCAGUCGAAGACAGAGGCGAAGGCAUGACGCUAGUGCCCCUGCAGAUUUAUGAUUGGCCGGGAGCGGCCAGGCGAGCAGAGUGAGGUGGCCCAGCUAAUUCAGCAGACCCUGGAACAGGAGCGAUGGCAGCGGGAGAUGAUGGAGCAGAGAUACGCCCAGUACGGGGAGGACGACGAGGAGGUAGGGACUGCCGGCCUGGCCGGUGGCAUCAUCGCCCCCUGGUGGCUGGAUGGAGCAUUACAACCAUCCUCUGACCCUGCUUUCCCAGGCCUUGUGAAGAAGGCGGGCGCACACCAGUCCCUAUCCUGGGGGAGUCCCCAGACGGAGGGAGGACAUGCAGACCCUUCCUUCAAAGAACACUUAGUCUUCUGGAAGGGGUCACACUUUCUGUCUUCAGAGACCCUUCCUGCUCCUACAAGGAAAACACAGUUCCUUCAAAGAGUCCCUACUCUGAGGGGAAGGCAUACAUAGCCUCUACCCUCAGGGGACCUAAUCUAAGGAAGGAGAUGGGGCUCCAGACCUCAGGGGACCCAUGGAGUGAAGGGAAAAGCACAGGCUGUUUCUUCAGGGCUCCCAGUCUUACAGGGGAACUACCUGGGCCUUCAGGGGACUCCCCAGGCUGCUGGGGGCAGACGCAAACCACGCCCACUGGCGUAGCCCCAGUCUGAUGGGGGAGGCAUGAACCACACCCCCGGGUAGCCCCCCAGUCUGACUUGGGCAGACCGUUGCCAGUCUAAGCCCCGCUCAUCAGGGCUGAGGGAGGCCGGGGUGGACAGGAUGUGCAGUCGCCUCUCUCCCUUCGCAGACAGGAGAAUAUGCCACCGACGAGGAUGAGGAGCUCAGCCCCACGUUUCCAGGGGGCGAGAUGGCCAUCGAGGUGUUCGAGCUGGCGGAAAACGAGGACGCCUUGUCCCCCGUGGACAUGGAGCCCGAGAAGCUGGUGCACAAGUUCAAGGAGGUGGGAAGAAGGGGGGGGGCGGUCCCUGGGCUGGUGGCGGGCAAAGGCAGGCCAUUAUCCCUCCCAACAGCACGGCCAACUCCAGCCGGAGCUGAGCAUCUGCCUCUCUGCCCCCACAGCUCCAGAUCAAGCACGCUGUGACUGAGGCAGAGAUCCAGCAGCUAAAAAGGAAGGUAAGAGCAUGGCAGGGGGAGUGGGGUCACUCACCGAGAUCUCUAGGGACGCCCCCUCGGUGUGGACAUCGAGACACUGGACUCGGGCUUCACGUGACCGUAUACGCAGGUGCGUCAGCCUGCAUAGGUACACCCUCGGCAUCCGUCUCCGAGACACAGAGACACGACCCUCCCUCGGGAAGAGGGUCACAGGACGCGUGCAUUCUCGCAGCCAGUUAGAGGCCCUGGUGGUGUCCUUGGGGGCGUGGUGACCAGGGCUGCCCAGAGUGCCGGCAGAGGGUAUGGAUAGGAAGGACGGGUUGGGGCUGCAUCUCUGAGGUGGAGAUGAUGGGCCACACCCCAUGCAGAGCAUGAAAGCGAGUCAAAGGUCUGUGCGUGCGUUCAAUCUGUAAAAGCCUAUAAGGCACCUUCUAAGUGCCCAGCACUGUUCCGGUCCCCGUGGUGGGCAGAAGCAGAUUUGAUGCCUGCCCUUGUGCACAGUGACGUCUGUGUCCUUACCAACUGACACGGGGCUCUGUAGGAGGAGAGUACAGGGGUGCCGAGCACCUAGAGCAGGGGAACCUGAUCCAGCCCGAGUGUGUGUAGGGGCGGGUGGGCGCGGGGGGCAGAGCUGUUGGAGGGAAUCACAGGAGACUUCUGUGGGGAAGUGACACACUGAGCAGAGAGCCAACGAGUAAGCUAGGGGGAGAUAAUGGGGCAAGAGGGAGAGGAGGUGGGGGGGUGCAUUCUAGGCAGAGGGAACGGCACGGGCAAGGGCCCUGUGGCAAGAGGGAACGUGGCAAGUCUGAGGAUCUCCAAGAAGGCCCAAGCGGCUGGGGUACGGACAGCAGGUGGCAUUUGCCACCAGCAAGGCUGGAGGGGGAGGCAGGGGCUUGAGGCUGAGCGCUGGCGUGGCAGUGAGACCGCGGAAAGGAGGACUAGAUUUGUGCGGGUGGGGUGACCGUGAGAAGCGGGAGACAAGGUGGCAGAGGAGCCGGGAUUGUUCAGGAAGCCACUGAAGCAGGGACUGGUCAGCAGGGCCAGAGCUGCGGAGGGGACAGAGGGCGAUGGCGACCCUCACUGGCCCUGCUCUUUUACACCUACCCUCUUCCUGUGGCCCUGUGAGCUUGGCAAGGCAGGAAGCAGUCCCAUUUCACAGAUGGGAGGCCGGAGGCUUAAGACAGAAGUUGCCUUGCCGCAGGUCACAGAGCUGGUCAGUGACUGACCCGGGCCUCUGGCCCGCGAGGCGCGUGCACGGCGCAGGGGCCCUGGCUGGGGGCUCUGAGGCUGAGCUCCCGCCUCUCCCCACUCCGGGCUCUGGUUCUCAGGCUCGGCCAAGGAGAGUUACUAGUUGGGGGGCAGCGGGCUUCACACCUGCAGGCGUCCUCCAGAGACUGGCCCCGGGGCCAGGAUGGGGGCGCUCCUCGGCUGCCUCUGGCCCGCACCAAUCCAUGGCUGUUCCUUCCUCAGCUACAGAGCCUGGAGCAGGAGAAGGGGCGGUGGCGGGUGGAGAAGGCCCAGCUGGAGCAGAGCGUGGAGGAGAACAAGGAGCGCAUGGAGAAGCUGGAGGGCUACUGGGGGGAGGCCCAGAGCCUGUGCCAGGCUGUGGACGAGCACCUGCGGGAGACCCAGGCCCAGUACCAGGCCCUGGAGCGCAAGUACAGCAAGGCCAAACGCCUCAUCAAAGACUACCAGCAGAAGUACGUGGCCAGGGCACUAGGAGCAGGGGGUGGGGGUGGGGGGCGGGUCCUGGCCCAGGGUGGACUGAGAGAGGCCUCUGGUGGUAGAACCUCCCCACCGCCACCUGAGUAGAGAGGCAAAGAGCACAGAAGUUGGAGGGCGCCCUGGUGAGGGUGCCUGAGCCCAGGAUGACUGGCCACCGGGGCCAGCACAGGCCCCAGAAGCUUUGGAAAGACCUGGGGCCUCCCGACCUAAGAACAGGGGGAGAGAGAGAGAGAGAGAGAGAGAGCGCGAGCGAGAGAGCGAGAGCUGCUCAGGUGGGGCUAAGGACAGGGCUGAGGGCCCUGAGACUCCUUGGAUGGCAGUCAGACCACACACCCUCACCCAUGGGCUGCCCCCUGCUGACCCCUAGGGAGAUCGAGUUCCUGAAAAAGGAGACUGCACAGCGCCGGGUUCUGGAAGAGUCAGAGCUGGCUAGGAAGGAGGAAAUGGACAAGCUCCUGGACAAGGUAGGCCCAGGGGUGCGCUGGGGGAGGGGACAGCAGGUAGACCCCUCCUCUCAGGCUCCCUGUGGAUCCUGGAGGGAGACAGAGUCGUGUUGCUGGCUCGGGGUCCUGCCACCACCAGGGUGUGCAGAGGGGCAGGGCCUGUGCCUGGUAUCAGGCCUGACCCCUCUCCCUUUUGUUUGCCAGAUCUCAGAACUGGAAGGAAACCUGCAAUCACUGAGGAAUUCCAACUCUACUUAACAGGAAUCACUCCUUGACGGGACAAUAAUUAAUCCCCUCCCAUUGUCCUCCCUCCCCUGUCCUCAAUACUUCACCCCGCCCCCUACCAGCCUGGGGACAGGUGCCCCGACUCCCCCACCCUCCGCCCCACCUCCCCCAGCUUCAGGGACCAGAGGGCCUGGGCAGACAGAGGUGGCUGGAAGAACGGCCUCUUGCUCGCCCUGCGGGGCUGAGGCACGGAGGCCCAGGGAUGCCGAGGGUUUGGCCUGGGUGGUGGAUGGACACAAGGACCUGCAGACCAUACUGCCAGACUUUACAACCUCCAGCCUUUGUCUCUGGACUGGAAUGGGGCUGGGGGCUCUCCCAGCAUCUCACCACCUGGAGGCUGCUCCCUGCCCACGGGGCUCCUACGUGGCCCCUGGGCCUCUUGACUUGAGAUUCUACCUUCUUGGCCCCUUUCCCCAUCCCCCAUCAUUGUGCUGUCUCUGUUGCAUUCUGACCCUCCUGCUGGGAGGGGUUGCCUCCACGCCUCCUCCUCCCAUCCUGGUCCCUCCUCCCAGGAGGGACAGAGUCCACCCUGGAGCCUGGAGGCUGGGACUGGCCCUGCACUGAUUUCUCAUGCAUCCUUUGGGAAAAGGGGAGAGUCCAGGACACCUGGUCCCCAGCUCCCCCUUCCCUGGGGCAGCAGCCCUCAAUUUUUCCUUGUGCCUCCCGACCCCUAGGUGCCAAAUAGCCAUAACCUCCUCCUGGAACUGUUCUGUGGCCUCUCUGGGCUCCGAGUUUCCUGGCCGAGCCUGGGAAUACCAGGGAGGAGAGGUCAGCUUAGGGGGCCUGGCUGCAGCUUAGGCAAGGCGAACAUUUCCCACCCACCCACCGGAGAGCCAGGCCCUGCCCUGCCCAGGGCCACACCUGGAAGCCUUGUACUAACAUCGCAAAUUCCGCCUCGCUCCACCCACGCCCACAGUUUUCCAAUGUUUUGACCGGAGGGCAAAAUUUUACUACUACUCAUCUUUUUGGAGACCAGGGCUGCCCUGCUGGCAGCCUGCUUUCUAAGUGAAAUCCACUCCGUUUCCCCACUCUAACCCCAAAUUGGGGAUUGGACCAAGGGAGGUGAGACCCACCCCCACCCCCACCCCCAGGUCCCCUCCUCUUUUCAGGAUCCACCUCUCAUUCUGCCUCUUCCUCAUGCCCCUGCCCCAGACUGGAUUUUUGUUCAUUUUUUAAAAACAGACAACCCCCAUCACAUCCGUUUGGGCUUCUCGACCCCUGUAAAUAGACCACGCCAUCGAUCAGUAUUUCUCGCCACCCCCCCUUGCCCCCAAGACGUGCCCCUACCCCCUGAAAGAGCUGGCUGUCUCAGUGCCCAGACCUACGCACUUCUCCUUCGCCCCGGCAGAUGGAGUGGGCGGGGCCGCGGGGCGCUUCCGGUUUCUCCAACCGGCACCGCCCCCGCCCCGCCCCCCCGCAGGACUGCGUCUCUGUAUAUAAUAUAUAUAUGUAUGUAUUGUUCCCGGUUUUGUACGGACCAUGCCCUCUGUCAAGUCGCCCCCAUAAAAGCAGCCCCC
rnacentral:lncRNA from 1 species